rnacentral:rRNA from 1 species
UACGGAGGGUGCAAGCGUUGUCCGGAUUUAUUGGGUUUAAAGGGUGCGUAGGUGGCCUUAUAAGUCAGCGGUGAAAGCCUGCAGCUUAACUGUAGGACUGCCAUUGAUACUGUAGGGCUUGAGUACUGAUGAGGUAGGCGGAAUUGAUAGUGUAGCGGUGAAAUGCAUAGAUAUUAUCAAGAACACCGAUUGCGAAGGCAGCUUACUAAGGAGUUACUGACACUGAGGCACGAAAGCGUGGGGAUCAAACAGG